GACAGAGGAGCCAAGCGUUGUCCGGAUUGACUGGGCGUAAAGCGCACGCAGGCGGCUGUGCACGUGGGGUGUGAAAGCUGGCGGCUUAACUGCCAGACGCCACCUCAUACGGCACGGCUCGAGCCCGUGAGAGGUCCACGGAAUUGACCGGUGUAGUGGUGAAAUGCGUAGAGAUCGGCAGGAACACCCAGGGGGAAACCAGUGGACUGGCACGGUGCUGACGCUCAGGUGCGAAAGCGUGGGGAGCGAACCGG
rnacentral:rRNA from 1 species